rnacentral:lncRNA from 1 species
UAAACUUUAAAAAAUUAAAUCAAACCAUCAAUCUUUUAAAUCAUGAUUUUGAAUCAAUUUAGAUUGAUUUAGAUCGAUUUAUUGGUUUUAGACGGUUUGAUGACACCCCUGCCUUUUUUCUAUGUUGGAAGAUUUUUGUUAAGAAGAAACCCUAGAGCUACUCACCGACCACAAAUCGUUUCAAACCCGCCGCCGCUCUCUCUUCCCCAAUAAUAAAACGGCUAAAUGUCUCUCUGUUUCAAUAUCAUUCUAAAACCUAAUCUCUCCCUAUUUCAAGUCUUAAUUUAUGUGGUCUCUACUUCGGUCUUCAAACCCAUAAACGAAACCCUACUUCCAAUUUAUUCUCUUCUCUUUUAGUUUCUUGUUUCUUUUUUGUUUUAUUGCUUGAAACUCUCAGCGUUUGUCUCUGCAGAAGUCUCAUGCUAUAAAAUACACAACGUCAUCUAUCUGGUGCGGAUCCAUUCGCAAAAUCAUACUGUCUAGGUGGCAAAAGCAAUUUGUUAAAAGCAAAUUUGAUUCAUCCAGUAACAUUGAUGAUGCUUUGGCUUCCUUUAAUUUGAUCCUUCGUAGGAAUCGGUCACAACCUUUGGUGGAAUUUAUAUAGAUUAUGAGACCUGUGAUUUGUUUAUCUAAAUAGAUGGAAUUGUUCGGAGUUUAAUUCAAUUUUUAUUCUAUUAAGUAUUUGACCUAAUUGCUUUUUCUUCUUACAUCCUGCGGAUUCUGGGUACUCUCCUAUUCAGAUCGAUUCCAUAGCUUCAUCAAAUUUAUCCUCCCUACCUUUAAUGGGCUUGGUAGGGAGGAUAAUUUUGUUGAAGCUGUGUAAUCGUUUGAUGAUAUUGUUGCGAAAGGGUAUCACCUGAUAUUUAUACCUAUACUGUGAUUUUUCUAUGCAGAAUUCUAGGUUCCUUUUUACCUUGCUUAUAAUGAUAGUUUGGCUGUCUGAAUUUUUUUUUUGGUUUAAUAAUCUUAUAUGAUGUCUACAAUUGAAGAACACAAUUUUACCUUUAGUUGAACUUUUCUGUGAAGGAUUUGAGUUGCUGUGGUUUCAUCGCGUUGUCAAAAGAUUGAAAUUGGUACUCAUUAUUUAACCAAUAUAGCUUAUUGUGCCUAUAUGCAUAUUUUGUUUUGGCAGAGAAUGGAUUUGAACUUUUAAUCUGACUAAUAUUUUACUUUUCCUUUAGCAAUUGUUCGCUAUAUAUAGAUCAGGCAAAAGUUGCAGCUGAGCCUUCACAGAUGUCUAGACAUUUUAAAGCUUUAAUAGUUGAGUUCGUUUAAGAUUUUUCAUUGUUUUUUGGUUUCAACUUCCUAUGCCAAUUUCCCCAAUUGACCACCAAUGUACGUAAUCAAGCUUGUUGAUUUAGUUUUUUCAGCAUCUCAUAUGCAAGUGCAAACUUAGGCAUGUGAAUUGAAGCUCGAUAGAGAUUANNNNNNNNNNNNNNUGAAAAGAUAUCAUUUAUCUAAUUAAUAAAAAAUUAUUGUUCAAUUAUAACUAAUAUAAUGAAUCUCGUAAUUUACUAUCUAAUAUAAAUUAAUCAAUAUAAAAGAAAUUUUCAUUUUAAAAAAUUGAAUUGAAUUUAAACAUGCAUACGGACGCAUGUAUAUAACAGUUUGAGUGAUUUUGACUCUAAACAAUAAAUCAAACCAAAUGCUCAAUUUUUAAACUUUAAAAAAUUAAAUCAAACCAUCAAUCUUUUAAAUCAUGAUUUUGAAUCAAUUUAGAUUGAUUUAGAUCGAUUUAUUGGUUUUAGACGGUUUGAUGACACCCCUGCCUUUUUUCUAUGUUGGAAGAUUUUUGUUAAGAAGAAACCCUAGAGCUACUCACCGACCACAAAUCGUUUCAAACCCGCCGCCGCUCUCUCUUCCCCCAUAAUAAAACCGCAAAAUGUCUCUCUGUUUCAAUAUCAUUCUAAAACCUAAUCUCUCCCUAUUUCAAGUCUUAAUUUAUGUGGUCUCUACUUCGGUCUUCAAACCCAUAAACGAAACCCUACUUCCAAUUUAUUCUCUUCUCUUUUAGUUUCUUGUUUCUUUUUUGUUUUAUUGCUUGAAACUCUCAGCGUUUGUCUCUGCAGAAGUCUCAUGCUAUAAAAUACACAACGUCAUCUAUCUGGUGCGGAUCCAUUCGCAAAAUCAUACUGUCUAGGUGGCAAAAGCAAUUUGUUAAAAGCAAAUUUGAUUCAUCCAGUAACAUUGAUGAUGCUUUGGCUUCCUUUAAUUUGAUCCUUCGUAGGAAUCGGUCACAACCUUUGGUGGAAUUUAUAUAGAUUAUGAGACCUGUGAUUUGUUUAUCUAAAUAGAUGGAAUUGUUCGGAGUUUAAUUCAAUUUUUAUUCUAUUAAGUAUUUGACCUAAUUGCUUUUUCUUCUUACAUCCUGCGGAUUCUGGGUACUCUCCUAUUCAGAUCGAUUCCAUAGCUUCACCAAAUUUAUCCUCCCUACCUUAAUUAAUGGGCUUGGUAGGGAGGAUAAUUUUGUUGAAGCUGUGUAAUCGUUUGAUGGUAUUGUUGCGAAAGGGUAUCACCUGAUAUUUAUACCUAUACUGUGAUUUUUCUAUGCAGAAUUCUAGGUUCUGUUUUACCUUGCUUAUAAUGAUAUUUUGCUGUCUGCAUUAUUUUUUUUUUUCUUGGUUUAAUAAUCUUACAUGAUGUCUACAAUUGAAGAACACAAUUUUGCUUUUAGUUGAACUUUUCUGUGAAGGAUUUGAGUUGCUGUGGUUUCAUCGCGUUGUCAAAAGAUUGAAAUUGGUACUCAUUAUUUAACCAAUAUAGCUUAUUGUGCCUAUAUGCAUAUUUUGUUUUGGCAGAGAAUGGAUUUGAACUUUUAAUCUGACUAAUAUUUUACUUUUCCUUUAGCAAUUGUUCGCUAUAUAUAGAUCAGGCAAAAGUUGCAGCUGAGCCUUCACAGAUGUCUAGACAUUUUAAAGCUUUAAUAGUUGAGUUCGUUUAAGAUUUUUCAUUGUUUUUUGGUUUCAACUUCCUAUGCCAAUUUCCCCAAUUGACCACCAAUGUACGUAAUCAAGCUUGUUGAUUUAGUUUUUUCAGCAUCUCAUAUGCAAGUGCAAACUUAGGCAUGUGAAUUGAAGCUCGAUAGAGAUUAAGAUCCUCGAAGUCUAUUUUUUUAUUAUUUUUUAAUUCUGGCUCUUUAUUUUCACCCUGGAUUAGAGGUAUACACUCUUAUUUGUAGAAUAUGACACUGGUAGUCAAAAGUUAUUCACAUGACUGAUUUUAACGUAUUUUCAAGUGUUAAGUAAGUUCUUUUCACUCGGCCAAUAUAUAUAUUUUUACUUCAUAUUGUUAUCUAUAUGACUGAUAGGUGUCAGUUUUAUAAUAUUUUUAGUAUAGUUUUUAAUUAGAAUUUUAGUAGAUUUUAUCACUUUGAUUUGUUUUUAACUCAUUUUUAGUAUAAUUUUGUUGAAAGCUUCCUUGAAUCAUAACCCACUUGAUCUGAAAGAAAUUUGUAGGGUUUUGGCACAGAAAAUAACAUUACAAAGCAAGAUACUCAGUCUCAAGCACGCUCAGCCAAAAGGCACCCCUGUGCUAAAUACUAACCAAAUAAGGGAGAGUCAGGAGUGAGCACGCCCAUCCCGUGCUAGAAGGCACGCCCGUGCCUAGAAGAAACUCAGGGUGUGCCUGCCUAGCACGCCCCGUGCUCAACCAUCUAGAGUUCCAUGCUUGAGCACUCGCAGGCCGUGCAUCAUAGCACGCCCGUGCUUCGAAGGCAGAACUGGCGUGAACUAAAAAUGCAAAUCAAUCCUUUUCUCACAUGGGCCUGCCUCGGAUAGUUUUUUAAACAUACUAAACAAGAUCUAAACCUAUUUUGGAAGAGAAAGGAGUCCUAACUAAGAAGAAAUCCAAGGUCUAAACAGUCAUGAUUUACUAUAGAAGAUGUUGUACUUAAUAAGGAUUCUGUUUCCUAAACGGAGUCAGAUUUGCCUUCAGGAGCUCUAUAUAAAGAGGGGAGCUUUUCAUUGAUGGAGAUAUGAUUUUUAAGUUGUUUUCUGCAUAGUUCUCUCUUUCUCAAACGAUUCAAGCAUCCAAGAUUUGUGUCAAGAUUCAAGGAAGCCAUCCACAUAGCUGUUACCUAGUUUUUAUCUCUAAACUCUUAAUUUUUUUUUUUUUUCAUUGUUUAUUACUGAUUAUGAAGAUUGAUUCAAGUAUUACUGAGUUUUAUUUAAUUACAUGUCUAGUUAAACUCUUAUACUAGGGAUUUGAUGUAACUUAAUUCGAUUCCAAUUUAUAAUAUUAGAUUUGUUUUUCAUUGUUCUUGUUAUAA